ACGUAGGGCGCGAGCGUUGUCCGGAAUUAUUGGGCGUAAAGAGCUCGUAGGCGGCCUGUUGCGUCCGCUGUGAAAGCCCGGGGCUUAACCCCGGGUCUGCAGUGGAUACGGGCAGGCUAGAGGUAGGUAGGGGAGAAUGGAAUUCCCGGUGUAGCGGUGAAAUGCGCAGAUAUCGGGAGGAACACCGGUGGCGAAGGCGGUUCUCUGGGCCUUACCUGACGCUGAGG
rnacentral:rRNA from 1 species